rnacentral:lncRNA from 1 species
AAGAACUACUUGUUGAAAGGGCAAGCCGUUGAGUUUCCCCUGGGUAGCUAGCAAGGAUCCCAAUUUCAAAAAAACUGAAAAUACGAGAUGUGAAGAUGUUUUGAAGAAAGAACAAGAAGCCUGUGUUCUAGUCCUGGCACUACCAUUAUUAUCCAUGUGAACUCUGAUCUUCCAGUUCUUAGGGGCAAAUGUCUGGAGUUUUCCCUCUUCCAACAUCAGGUGAUCUGGCUACUUCAGGAGAAUGCUGCCCUACAAAUGCCUCAAGUCACAAAAUUUGGAAGACUUGGCUCCUUGGUAUAGAAGCAGCAUUGGCUGAGACAUGGUUCUUUGGAAACAGACAGUGGGGGCUCGUCCGGGAUAAAAUGGCGAGGACUGAGCCAGCAUCAGAAUUUUUGGGAAAAGCCUCUGGAGAGGAGAGGGAUCGCAUUACGCGAGAAACCCGUAAGGUGAUAAAAGAGAGGCUCGGCUGGGACCUCGAUCCCCGGCGAAUGGAGGACUACUGCCCAAAGGAACCCCCCAACUGGGACCCAAACUCUGAUGAAGGGCCCACGCAGGGAUCCGAACUGCCAACAGUGAAAUGGAGCCAGAGAUGGAUCCACAUCCUUACCAGCCUGGGGACUUGGUGUGGAUACGUCGCCACCAAGUGGGAAACUUGGAACCUCAUUGGAAGGGACCGUUUACUGUCAUUUUGACCACCCCCACAGCAAUAAAAGUAGAGGGCAUCAGGGCCUGGAUUCAUGCGGGUCAUGUCAAACAAGCCGAGGACAGGGACGCCCCCCAGAGAUGGGUACCAUUGCCGAUGGACUCCGCUGACCGUGGACUAAAGCUAAAAAAACUCAAACAAUGAGUUCAUUAAGUUCAUUGUUACUCCUAUUGUUACUGGUUUAUGUAAAAACUUCUGAGUCACCCCAUCAGAUGGAGAAGUAUAAAUAGGAAAUUAGACAAGUGAAAUUAACAAAAGUAGAAAAGGUUAUACAAAGCAAUGAGUGGCUGACCCAUCAGCCAACUAUGCAAUUUAAUGUGACUAUAUGUCAAUUGGCAUCUGUAACUCCCUGUGUCACGCAUGCCCCCUAUUGAUGAAGUUCUUGAACCUAGGUGAGGUUCAAUAGGGUGAGGUUUGGAGCCAAUGGCUUUAGAAAGAAUUCUUUAGACGUCUUUGGUGCAAAACAGUGGUUUAUUAGAGCACGGGGACAGGACCCGUGGGCAGACGGAGAUGCUGCAUGUGAGGAGUGGCUGGUUAUAUACACAGGAGUUGGGUAGGUGAGGACAAAGGGUUGUUCAGAAGGGCUAUUGGGAUAAAGAAGACUGUCAGGAUAUUGAAGGCCAGGUUACUAUCAAGCCAAGGCCACUUUCCCUCUAAUGAGGCACUAACAUAAAGACAAUUGGGAGUCUCCUGGUGGAAUGUUACAUUCCUGCUAUCAAACNNNNNNNNNNNNNNNNNNNNNNNNNNNNNNNNNNNNNNNNNNNNNNNNNNNNNNNNNNNNNN